rnacentral:tRNA from 1 species
UGCCCCAUCGUCUAAUUGGCAGGACAGCUGAUUUUGGUUCAGUCAGUCUAGGUUCGAGUCCUAGUGGGGCAACUA